rnacentral:rRNA from 17 species
AAAACUUUGAGCGGUG